CUACGGGUUGCACCAGUGAGGAAUAUUGGUCAAUGGGCGAAAGCCUGAACCAGCCAUGCCGCGUGAAGGAUGACGGCCCUAUGGGUUGUAAACUUCUUUUAUACGGGGAGAAACACCUCUACGUGUAGAGGUUUGACGGUACCGUACGAAUAAGCAUCGGCUAACUCCGUGCCAGCAGCCGCGGUAAUACGGAGGAUGCAAGCGUUAUCCGGAUUUAUUGGGUUUAAAGGGUACGUAGGCGGAAACUUAAGUCAGUAGUGAAAUCCCGCAGCUUAACUGUGGAACUGUUAUUGAUACUGGGUUUCUUGAAUAUUGUUGAGGUAGGCGGAAUAAGUAAUGUAGCGGUGAAAUGCUUAGAUAUUACUUAGAACACCGAUUGCGAAGGCAGCUUACUAAGCAAUUAUUGACGCUGAGGUACGAAAGCGUGGGGAGCGAACAGGAUUAGAUACCCUUGUAGUC
rnacentral:rRNA from 1 species